GAGACCCUCGCCAGGCUCUGAAGACGCGGCCUGGCCCUGGCCGUUCGGCCCUUCGUCUGAGCGCAAAGGCUCCAGCACCUCCGCGGCCGAAGCCGCGGGACUUUUCGUGGAAAAUGGGACCCAGCCCGAUCGCCAGCGGCGCUGCAGCGGACUCUGCGGGAACCUAGCUUCUGCUCCAGGACCUCCAGGGCCACCCCAGCUCGCAGGGCGUUCGCAGCGGCUCAGGGCGAAUCACGCUCAUGGUCCCCGUGCGCAUUUUCAGCCCCAGCCGGGGAGGGACCCAGAGCUGGAGGCUUAGCCCUGGAGAUACCGGUGAAGAUGGAUGAAUGAGAAACCAGUUGGAGCUUCCAAGGCCUGUCGUCCAUCAGGAGAAGCAAAAGGUUUUAUUCUAGAGACAAGUCCUUCCAACUGUACAGCUGAUGGAGUAGCCAAGGAAACCUGGUCUUUCCAGAGACACAUAGAAGGUGCCAUCUAUGAGGAACAGGCCUUCACCAGACAUCAAAUCUGUUGGCAUCUUGAUCUUUGACUUCUCCACCGCCAGAACUAGAUCAAGACAUGAAACCCAUGUUCAAGAUACUUUCCAGUGUGUCUUCAUGUGAUCCUCUGAGUCCAGCCAUCAGGCUACCAGCAGCUCUUGGAAACCCUGACAUACUUAUUCUUAGAAGACUGCUUUCCGGACUCAAAGUGGAACCUCAAAUUUUCAAUUUUCUUUGUUUUUAAAGCCUACACAUAGGAUCUAGUUUGAGGCCCUAAGAAGUAUAAGACAACAGUUUGAACAGAGCUCCUAUCAGACACAUGAAUUCUGCUAAAAUUGAAACCAGAACAAACAUGCAAUUGAUGGUGAAGCUUGGCUGGAAACAUGGUGAAAUCAUUGAUGAUUUAUUGAAAGUUUAUAGGGACAAUGCCUCAAAGAAAUCAGCAAUUUAAGUAAGUGGAUAACUCAUUGGAAGAAGAGAAGAGAUGAUGUUGGAGAGGAAGUCCACAGCAGCAGGCCAGCCACAUCAGUCUGUGAGGAAACAAUUCAUCUUGUUUGUGCCCUAAUUUAAGAGGACUGAUUAAUAGCAGCAGAAACAAUAGCCAACGCUGUAGGUAUCCCAAGGUGUUCAGCUUACACAAUUCUGACUGAAAUUAAAGUUGAGUAAACUGUCCACUCGGUGGGUGCCAAAACUUUCUCCCAGCUCAGCUGCAGAUAAGAGAAAAGCGUUCUAUGGCCAUUUUAAACAAGUGGAAUCAAGAUCCUGAAGCAUUUCUUCAUAUAAUUAUAGCCGGAGAUGAAAUGUGGCUUAACCAGUACACUCCUGAAGGCAAAGCACAAGCAAAGCAAUGACUACCUAGAGGUGGGCGUGGUCCCAUCAGAGUAAAAGCAGACAUGUCAAGGGCAAAGGUCGUGGCAACCGUUUUGUGAAUGCUCAAGGCAUCUUGCUUAUUGACUUUCUGGAGGGCCAAAGAACAGUAACAUCUUAUUAUGAGAGUGUAUAGAGAAAGUCAGCCAACGAUUUAGCAGGAAAACACCCAGGAAAUCGUCACCCCGGAAAGCUUCACCAGAGAGCCCUUCUCCACCAUGACAAUGCUCCUGCUCAUUCCUCUCAUCAAACAAGGCCAGUUUUGUGAGAGUUUCAAUGGGAAAUCACUAGGCAUACACCUUCCAGGCCUGAUUUGGUUACUUCUGUUUUAUAAUUUUAAAAAAUCUUUAAAGGGCACCCACUUUUCUUCAGUUAAUAACGUCACAAAGACUGAAGUGGCAUGGUUAAAUUCCCAGGGUGCCCAAUUCUUUAGGGAUGAACUGAAUGGCUGGUACCAUUACUUGCAGAAGCGUCUCGACCUUGAUGGAGCUCAUGCUGAGAAAUAAAACAUUUUUUAAUUUUUAUCUUUUAAUUCAAUUUUUUCGUGAACUUUUGAAGUCCCCUUGUAUUUGUUUUUGGUGGAACUUUGAGUCUGAUUUCUCAGCUCCCCAUGGAUGGCUGCAUCUUAACAGAGAAAUGAACGCCAUUUACCCUGAUGCUCUCUACUUGGCCUAAGUUUCAGAUGUUGAACACACACGUGUGGGAAUUUAUGAAUCUGUGCACCUGUGCCAGCUGGUGGGUGAAGUCUAAGUUUCUUCAACACAAUUAGUUAUCUUCUGCCUCCUGGAAUCUGGUAGGAAAGGUUGAGGAAAAGCAGCCAUCCACAGCGCCUCCACCACUGGAAUGGGGGCAGCCCUAACGUGUGCCCCACUGCCCCCCAUGCUGAGGAGUCCUUCACUCCAGGGAUGUCUUCACCCCAAUCAUUCAGACUCCCCCAGUGUUCCUGCGUCACCUGAAAGGUCGGAAGCAUCUCAGCACAUACUCUCCAUGAGUGGUACUUAGGCCUCCCUCCCCAUCAAUACUGAAGCCCUCAGAGGCAGAGGGGAGUCAAGGAAAAGAGUGGCCAUCAGCAAUAAAUGAGUUACAAGGUUUGAUUUCAAAGAGAAAAACUUGUCACCAAAAUCACUACUCAGGAGAUCUGGACUUCCUCUGAAUGUGAGUUAAAGAACCCUUGAGGGUUAAGAGCCAACUGCACCUGAUCCCCACUCUCCCAUCCCAAGACCCUGGGAAGUCAAACCAAGAGGUAAUCAACAGAAAACAAGUUUAAUGCAACAGGUGACAACGGUCUGGAGCGAGUCCAUGCUCCGGAAGGCUCAGUCUGUGGCAGUCCCGUGGCUCAAGACAGGCUGAGGCCGGCUGCAAUGGAGGCCAGCAGCAGGAGGAUGGCCAGCCACAGCCCACCACAGCUCUCACCCAUGCUCCCAGCAUAUUCUUUGAACACUGAUGAGUUGAUAGGUGGCCCCUCUAAAUUGCAGUAGCGAAUUUUACAACACUUGAGGUAAAAGAAGGGCAUGGGCUCUUCCAGGAGAAACCGCUUCUCCUCUGGCUUGGGUCUCUCCAUCGCUGCACAACCAGCGGAGCACUGCUUCGCAACCAUGAAAAAACGUGGAAAUAUUUCUAAUAGGAAAUAAAGACCGAGAGAAGGCAAUCACGCAAUUCCAAUGCCUGACACCGAGGCCCUUCUGUCUGGGUCAAAGCCUCACCCCUGGCGGCCCUGCUCAAAGGUGCACAGUCAACUGGGGCACCAAGGGGGAGUCGGGAGGACGAGGGCCAGGCCUGUGUGUUGAAUGCUGCUUCAGGGAAGGGCUGGCUUCUGCGUGGUAUGGCCUGUCCAUAUGCACUGGGAAUGCGGGUCUAGGGGUUGCUGUUUGGGAACAAACAGGUCUCAACUUCUCAAACACAGGGUUGGCUCAGGCCUUUGUGACCACAGACAGACACAUGACUCCCAGCCAUUCUGGCCAUCACCCAGGGUGUGGAGCUGGCCUCUUGGUGGGCCUGGCUCGACUCUGAGCUGGGGGUCUUGUCUCAUGACCACACUUCAUCUUAUACAUCACUGUACAAAUCAUUUUGCCAUAUUAAGUUAUAAAGUCGAUGUGGGCCACACUGAGUCUGAAGCAUCACCUCAGCACCCCACCAACUUCGUGGAUACCGAAGGGCUGGAGAGUGACUGCUGGGCGGAAUCAGAAUUCACGAGCCCUGAAGAUCUCCCUGUGGGCAGAAUGUGCUGGGUGUCCAGAUUCCCCUUGGGGAGGGCUUCAUGUACCCAGAGGUUUUCAGGGGAAUCACAGAUGACAGAGCAGUGGUCUCCACAAUUUUUAAGGCAUGCACCCUCCUUUGAGAACACACUUGAAGGCUGUACACCUUGGUUUUGUGCAUCUCUUGUAAGAGUGACAUAGACACUGUUCUCUGUGGCGCAUUUAACACUAUUAAAGCUUAAUUUUUCAUUUAAAAAUGGAUGAUAUGAAAUCCAGAUUUUCUUCCUACCUCCCAGUAUUUCAUCUGGACCCACUGUAGCAGGCACUGCCUUACACUAGCACAGUUCCUACACCUCUCUCUGGCCUCUGAGGACUUUGCUCUUCACAUUUUAAAGGGAAAAAAAGGCAGGGCGCGGUGGCUUACGCUUGUAAUCCCAGCACUUUGGGGGGCCGAGGGCGGGUGGGUCACCUGAGGUCAGGAGUUCGAGACCAGCCUGACCAACAUGGUGAAACCCCACCUCUACUAAAAAUAAAAAAUUAGCCAGUGUGGUGGCGCGCAUCCAUAAUACCAGCUACUCUGGAGGCUGAGGCAGGAGAAUCGCUUGAACCCGGAAGGCGAGGUUGCAGUGAGCCGAGAUCACACCACUGCACUCCAG
ensembl:lncRNA LNCOC1 lncRNA associated with ovarian cancer 1